rnacentral:rRNA from 1 species
CCUACGGGGGGCUGCAGUGGGGAAUAUUGGACAAUGGGGGCAACCCUGAUCCAGCCAUGCCGCGUGUGUGAAGAAGGCCCUCGGGUUGUAAAGCACUUUCAGUGAGGAAGAACGCCUGGUGGUUAAUACCCAUCAGGAAAGACAUCACUCACAGAAGAAGCACCGGCUAACUCCGUGCCAGCAGCCGCGGUAAUACGGAGGGUGCGAGCGUUAAUCGGAAUUACUGGGCGUAAAGCGCGCGUAGGUGGCUUGAUAAGCCGGUUGUGAAAGCCCCGGGCUCAAACUGGGAACGGCAUCCGGAACUGUCAAGCUAGAGUGCAGGAGAGGAAGGUAGAAUUCCCGGUGUAGCGGUGAAAUGCGUAGAGAUCGGGAGGAAUACCAGUGGCGAAGGCGGCCUUCUGGACUGAAACUGACACUGAGGUGCGAAAGCGUGGGUAGCAAACAGGAUUAGAUACCCGUGUAGUC